GUUUAAGCAUUGAAUUUUGAUUUAGGAUAGGCAAUAUCUUAUAAAGCAAGAGUAAGCAUAUUUGUUUUUCUUUGGGAUUAUUGAAGUACAUCUUUCCUUGCUAAGUUGUAUGAGUUGUGUGAUUAUGCAUAAAAGAUGAGUGUGAUGCUUUUCUUGUGAUUAUCCCCUUUGAUCUAGUCCUAAACAAGGUUUAAGUAAAUAGAGUGAUAAUGAUUAGA
rnacentral:lncRNA from 1 species